rnacentral:rRNA from 1 species
GACAGAGGCCUCAAGCGUUAGGCGGAAUCACUGGGCUUAAAGCGUGUGUAGGCGGAUCGUUAAGUGUCUUGUGAAAUCCCACGGCUCACCCGUGGAACUGCUGGGCAUACUGGCGAUCUUGGGCCAACUAGGGCAACUGGAACAAGCGGUGGAGCGGUGAAAUGCGUAGAUAUCGCUUGGAACGCCAAAGGUGAAAAACAGGUUGCUGGGGUUGUGCCGACGCUGA